rnacentral:rRNA from 1 species
CGGGUGAGUAAUGUAUGGGGAUCUGCCUGAUGGCGGGGGAUAACUACUGGAAACGGUAGCUAAUACCGCAUAAUGUCUGCGGACCAAAGCGGGGGACCUCCGGGCCCUCGCGCCAUCAGAUGAACCCAUAUGGGAUUAGCUUGUAGGUAAGGUAACGGCUUACCUAGGCGACGAUCCCUAGCUGGUCUGAGAGGAUGAUCAGCCACACUGGGACUGAGACACGGCCCAG